rnacentral:rRNA from 1 species
UACGUAGGGUGCAAGCGUUGCCCGGAUUUAUUGGGCGUAAAGGGCGCGCAGGCGGCUGCGCACGUUCGCUGUGAAAGCUCCCGGCUCAACUGGGAGAGGUCGGCGGAUACGGCGCAGCUGGAGCUCGGUAGGGGGUCGUGGAAUUCCUGGUGUAGCGGUGAAAUGCGCAGAUAUCAGGAGGAACACCGGUGGCGAAGGCGGGGUCUCUGGGCCGAUACUGACGCUGAGGAGCGAAAGCGUGGGGGAGCGAACAGG